rnacentral:rRNA from 1 species
CCCUUAGAUGUCCUGGGCCGCACGCGUGCUACACUGACGCAUACAGCGAGCACUUUCCAGUUCCGAGAGGCUACUGGUAAUCAUCAAUAUGCGUCGUGAUGGGGAUAGAUCUUUGGAAUUCUGGAUCUUGAACGAGGAAUGCCUAGUAAUCGCAGGUCAUUAGCCUGCGAUGAUUAAGUCCCUGCCCUUUGUACACACCGCCCGUCGCUACUACCGAUUUCGAGUGGCCAGGUGAAUCUUUCGGACUGUGGGCGCCCUUGAGGUGUUCGCGGAAAGUCAGGUAAAUCUUAUCACUUAGAGGAAGUAAAAGUCGUAACA